UACGAAGGGGGCUAGCGUUGCUCGGAAUCACUGGGCGUAAAGGGUGCGUAGGCGGGUCUUUAAGUCAGGGUGAAAUCCUGGAGCUCAACUCCAGAACUGCCUUUGAUACUGAGGAUCUUGAGUUCGGGAGAGUGAGUGGACUGCGAGUGUAGAGGUGAAAUUCGUAGAUAUUCGCAAGAACACCAGUGGCGAAGGCGGCUCACUGGCCCGAUACUGACGCUGAGGCACGAAAGCGUGGGGAGCAAACAGG
rnacentral:rRNA from 1 species